rnacentral:rRNA from 1 species
ACCAAUGAAGAUUGAGUGCUUGCACAAAAGUUGGGAUUUGGAUUUGCAUCUAGUGGCAGACGGGUGAGUAACACGUGGGUAACCUACCCUGAAGACUGGGAUAACAGUUAGAAAUGACUGCUAAUACCGGAUGAUUCAUGAGAAGAUAACUUUUCAUGCUAAAAGGAGCGUUUGCUUCACUUCAGGAUGGGCUUGCGGUGUAUUAGCUAGUUGGUGGGGUAAUGGCUCACCAAGGCAACGAUGCAUAUCCGAGCUGAGAGGCUGAUCGGACACACUGGGACUGAGACACGGCCCAGACUCCUACGGGAGACAGCAGUUAGGAAUAUUCGUCAAUGGAGGAAACUCUGAACGAGCAAUGCCGCGUGAGUGAUGAAGGUCUUUAUGAUUGUAAAACUCUGUUGUAAAGGAAGAACAACUAUCAUAGGAAAUGAUGAUAGUCUGACGGUACUUUGCCAGAAAGCCCCGGCUAACUACGUG